GAUGAACGCUGGCGGCGUGCCUAAUACAUGCAAGUCGAGCGAACGGACGAGAAGCUUGCUUCUCUGAUGUUAGCGGCAGACGGGUGAGUAACACGUGGAUAACCUACCUAUAAGACUGGGAUAACUUCGGGAAACCGGAGCUAAUACCGGAUGAUAUUUUGAACCGCAUGGUUCAAAAGUGAAAGACGGUCUUGCUGUCACUUAUAGAUGGAUCCGCGCUGCAUUAGCUAGUUGGUAAGGUAACGGCUUACCAAGGCAACGAUGCAUAGCCGACCUGAGAGGGUGAUCGGCCACACUGGAACUGAGACACGGUCCAGACUCCUACGGGAGGCAACAGUAGGGAAUCUUCCGCAAUGGGCGAAAGCCUGACGGAGCAACGCCGCGUGAGUGAUGAAGGUCUUCGGAUCGUAAAACUCUGUUAUUAGGGAAGAACAUAUGUGUAAGUAACUGUGCACAUCUUGACGGUACCUAAUCAGAAAGCCACGGCUAACUACGUG
rnacentral:rRNA from 1 species